UACAGGGGGUGCAAACGUUGCUCGGAAUUAUUGGGCGUAAAGCGCACGUAGGCGGUUUGUUAUGUCGGAUGUGAAAACCCGAGGCUCAACCUCGGGCCUGCAGUCGAUACGGGCAAACUAGAGUACUGCAGGGGAGACUGGAAUUCCUGGUGUAGCGGUGAAAUGCGCAGAUAUCAGGAGGAACACCGGUGGCGAAGGCGGGUCUCUGGGCAGUAACUGACGCUGAGGAGCGAAAGCGUGGGGAGCGAACAGG
rnacentral:rRNA from 1 species